CGAACCCCCUCUCCCGCACUCUUUUUGUUCCACCAAAUUUUGGUCUUCCUCCCACCCCGGGCCGCCGUCUACCGCGCCUGCUGCGGCCUCCGCUUGCCACCGCAAACCUGGCCGCCAGCGCUGCGGGCCACCGCGGUGAGGCUGCCACCUCCGCCAGCUGCCGCGGACACGCGCCGGGUGAGCCAUCGGCCCGCCGCCGCGGACGCGCGCAGGGUGCGCCCUCCGCCCGCCGCCGCCCUACAAGCCGGGUGCGUACGCACCCGCCGCCCACCAAGCCGGGCGCAGGUGAGGGACGCCGCCGCCGCCGCCCACCACGCCGGGUGCGGGAGACCGGCGUGACACCGGGCCCCGCCUCAACGUGCGGCGGAGACGGCAGGCUGGGAUCCGUGACCCAAUCCCCUACGCCCACCGGAUCUGAGGUCCUGAUUGGUUUCGAGAUCCGUCAGUUUGCUGGUUCGGAUCUCCCUGCUGCAUGUUCUGUAUAUGCAAAACCUCCCCCCACCCCCUCCUAUGAUGUAUUUUUGCUAAUCUGAGUAUAUGUCCAUGCCUAUAAUCUGUUCAUAUAUACAUGGCAUUGAUAUUUUUUUCAGCUGUCCAUGCCUAUGAAAUUUUACUAAUCUGUACAUGUGGCCAUUGCAUUGUUAUUUUUUUUUGUUUCUGCAUAUUUCUUUCAUGGACGUGUGAUGUUAGUUCUAGUUAAUUUAUCAACAUAUCCCAUUGACAUCUAAAUUAAAACAUAUUUCCUUCAUAAAUUAAAACAUAUUCCAUGUGUGGAAUUGUAUAGAUGGAUUUGCGAGAGAGAGAAGAAGAGAUGCAAGCUAUUUGCUCUGGUUGCUAGUCUUAUCACAGCCUGUAUGCAUUCUUUCUGAGUAGGAUGAGUAGGAUUAUGUGAUGUUGCACUUAAAUUGAGGCAUUGGACAUAUGCAAUGAUGAUUUUUUUGGCUGUGAUGCUACACUUAAAUUGGGGCACUGGACAUGUGCAGUGUUAAUAUUUUUCUGUGAUGUAUACACUUAAACUGAGGCUUCAGACAUGUGCGAUGAUGAUUUUUUUAUGUGAUGAUUUUUCUGAAAUUUCCAAGCUAAUAUUUAUAUUUCGUCGAAUAAUUUGAAUGUUCUAUGCCGAUACUUGGAUUUUAUUUUGCAGGGAUUCUUCUUACAAGCUGGCUGAUACUAUUCUUUGCUUAACGGUGACUGGCUCAUCGAUCAUAAUAAAAGAGAUAAGAAUAUGUGUUAAGCCUUACAAUUCACCUUGCCCAUUUAUCUUUCCAAGUUACAUGCUUUCAACUAUUUAUUACUUGGAUUGUUUCUUGUGAGAGAUAACUGUUCUCUACAUUGUUUAGCAAUGCCUGCUAACAGUAAUUCGGUUAUGAUCUCAAUUAUUUUACAAGCUGUUGCGGUAAACAGUAAUUAUCUGCUUAUAUAAUAAGGCUAAAUGUGCAGGUGAGUCAUCUACACGUUUUGUCGCUUCUUUUUGCCCCACUCAUAUUGGUGGCGUCUGUGGUGUUCAGGGAGCCCUAGACGAUGAGGUCACAACUUAACUUCUCAAGAAAUAUGUGGUCCAGAGUUUCUAUAUUUUUGGUCCAGGAUUUCACUUAUCAAGGCUAUAUUUGAAUGCUGAGAAUGAGAUAAUGCACACCCUUGCAUUCUUAGCUGGUGCCAUGGUUUGGUCACAGGUGAGUUCUUUUCUUGCUAUAAAUGUUGACUUCCAGCGAGUGGAGAAUCUGAACACAAAUGGUUGCUACAGAAAGACAACGCUCAUGGUAAAUAUAACUUCUUGCAUAUAUCCUCACGAAGAAUUCUUACCUCAAAUAUCAGCUUCUGUGUAUGCGAUGAAGACUCUGAUUCUGCAGAGUAAAACCAUCCUUCUAGAGAUCAGGGAACUCUGGAGAGAACGAUGUAUUUUAGUGAUGAUGGGCAUAUGCCUACUGUGCUUAUUUGUCUGCUGAGAAGAUAGUACUGAUAUAAUCUUUCCAUUUUUAACUUCCAGAGUUAUGUUACACACAUACCUCGCAGCAGACAUAGCACUCCUUUUCUGCUGCCUUGUCUUUCAGAUAGUGGAGCUCCGCCACCAUCCCAGAAUUGUGAUAUUGGGUCCAGCACUGGUGCGAGUAUGAGCACCAGAUUGAGUACCUUGUCACUUUGAUGUGGAGCGUGGUUCUGCGGCAAGUUGGCACAAUUGCUCGCGCUGAAGUGGCUGGCCGCAAUGCUGGCCACAUCACGGAGCUGAUGGUUUGCUCUGAUGGUCGGGUUUGUAUCUUGACGCUUGAAGCCUGUUUUACCUGCAUUUCUGCCUAAAUUCCAAUAUAGUAAUAUUUCUAAGAGGAAACGUGAAAUUGGCUCUUUCUGGAUAACAUCAGCAGGAAUAUCAGGUGAAGUGCAACUAACCCCCUAGCUAGCAGCAAGAUAUUAAUCCCGAAUUGCGCAUUCUUGCCCCCAAUCUAUUUAAUAUCAUGCCUUGUGGUCACAGUUCGAUCGAUACACACGCUUUGAUGGCUCUCCAUGAGGUCCAUGAUGUUGUACUGUCGCACCAGCAAAGGAUGUACAGAAGAGGGAGCUACAAGGUUUGGAUUAAGCAUUCAAUUUUCUAUUAGUUCUUCUUGCACUGGAAUAUCAAAGAUUGGUUACUGAACUGAACAGUUUGAGCUGAAUUUUAUGUUUUGGCACGUCAGGGAUAUGUAAGGCUGAAUAUGUAGUUUUCUUUGGAAUACAUAUGGUUUCCAAUCGUUCAAUUGAGUGAUCCUGUAACUAAUUUUAAAGUGAAUUUGAAAGCUGCUUACUUGAAAAGAUA